rnacentral:rRNA from 1 species
UACGGAGGGUGCGAGCGUUGUCCGGAAUCAUUGGGCGUAAAGGGCGCGUAGGUGGCCUGGUCAGUUCGUGGUGAAAGCGCGGGGCUCAACGUCCGCGUCGGCCAUGAAUACUGCUGGGCUUGAGCACUGUAGAGGCAGGCGGAAUUCCGGGUGUAGCGGUGGAAUGCGUAGAGAUCCGGAAGAACACCGGUGGCGAAGGCGGCC